GAGGGUUCUGAUGAGGACUCUGGGUCACCUCCCACCCGUGUUUAUUGUACCUUGUUGCUUCGGUGCGCCCGCCUCACGGCCGCCGGGGGGCUUCUGCCCCCGGGCCCGCGCCCACCGAAGACACCAUUGAACUCUGUCUGAAGAUUGCAGUCUGAGCAUAAACUAAAUAAGUUAAAACUUUCAACAACGGAUCUCUUGGUUCCGGCAUCGAUGAAGAACGCAGCGAAAUGCGAUAACUAAUGUGAAUUGCAGAAUUCAGUGAAUCAUCGAGUCUUUGAACGCACAUUGCGCCCCCUGGUAUUCCGGGGGGCAUGCCUGUCCGAGCGUCAUUGCUGCCCUCAAGCACGGCUUGUGUGUUGGGCUCCGUCCCCCCGGGGACGGGCCCGAAAGGCAGCGGCGGCACCGAGUCCGGUCCUCGAGCGUAUGGGGCUUUGUCACCCGCUCUGUAGGCCCGGCCGGCGCCAGCCGACAACCCAUCAUCCUUUUCAGGUUGACCUCGGAUCAGGUAGGGAUACCCGCUGAACUUAAGCAUAUCAAUAAGGCGGAGGA
rnacentral:rRNA from 1 species